rnacentral:tRNA from 1 species
UGAUCCAUGUGGGUUUCGAACCCACGACCUUCGGUACAUAAGACCGACGCUCUAACCACUGAGCUAAUGGAUCUU